ensembl:lncRNA
GGGUAGUUUCUCUUCCCCUCGUACAUGCAAACUUACAAGCCAGAACUCUGUGGUUUGUGCCUUAGUUUGUUAUGAAAACAUGCAUAUUUGUAGCCUGAGUCAGAACUGGGUUCCCCAGCUGAAGAUAAGCUUUCUGCAAUGACUUCUCUUCCAAUCCCACCAGCUGGGCACAGUGCUGAUUAAAAAAAAAAACAACAUCCUUGGCUACAGGAGGUUCUCAUGAGUGCCCAAUGGCCACAGGUGUUCUCCAGCCUGCUAAGCAGGUUUUAAAUGGGAGGAAAAGAUGCAGCUAAAUUACUUGUAUUCCCCCCAGUGGGAGGAAGCUGACCUGUGGAGGAGGAGUGUCCAGUACUGAGAGCACCAUCUUCUCAGCGGAGCGAAACUCUUACAAAGCUGAAUUCUAGAGAAGAUUGAAUUCUGACUCCUUUUGCACUGGGAUGCCAAGCAACCAUGCAACUUGGAGGACUUGGGACCUUUUUCUUCUCAUGCCUGGAGCCAGCCUCAAACAUACAACAAAGUCCAUUCAGGAGCUAAUGUCAAGGGAGCAAGGUUUUUCAGCUACGGUAGAUGCAGACCUUACACCCACGCCCUGCAGAUGAUGGGCAUCUAGAAUAAGGGUCAAAUGUGCCUUCUUUGGCUACAAUAUGAAUCCUACUGAAUGUUGUUCAAUGUGGUGGAUGCCAUUUUCAUUGACUCUUAUUUUGAGAAAAAACAGAUCUUCGUAUAUCUAUUAUUUAUAAGGAGUGGCGGAUGUAUCAUGACUAAGAAUGAUGACUACAGAGCUCUAAUUUGGGAAUUCCUUAUCUUGCGAAAAACUCAUGUAUGUAUUUUUUUUUUUUAAGUCAGGGUUCAGGUAGAACCACGAUGAGCAAAAGAUUAAAGCUCUGUCAGAAAAGAAAUGCUAUGCUAUUUCAACUCUCUCAGUUUUCAAAGGAGAAUGAAAUAUGCAGUAAUUCACACAGACAACAUAAAUACUGAAUAACUAUUGCAGUGGAUUGUAUUAAUAGAUAUACGAGAUGAAUAGCAACAUCUUUGAUUUAGUUCUUUUCUGAUGGUGCCUGUGGAUUACAAGGAUUAGCCUGUCUUCUGCGGUGCUAUCUGUCCAAUAACUGUGAUUCAAACUUCUCUUCAUUUUCUCCCUUCCCCGCUUCCUUUUCUCUUUCCAGGAAAACAGAAUAGUUGUGACAAAUAAAUGCAUUUAUGCCAUUUUAUUUCUCUGGAGUCAGAUCCUGAUUGUACCCACCAAACUCCAUUCAUUUGAAUAUUCCCAUUGAUUAAGGUGAGGAAGUUUGUCGCAUCCUUAAAUCUUUUGGGGACUUGAAGACACGUGGGUGAAAUUUAAUCCUUCACCCAACUCAAAAACCUGUAAACCUAUGACAUUACAUGAUGUAAUUUGGGCACAAAUUUGUUAUGAGGACUCAUGAAGUGAAAAUUGAAGGCAGAGUCCUUUCCUUUACAGAAAACUCCUAUUACUAGUUGACUAGCUUUCGAUCAGAGCUCCAAGAUGCUGCAGAUACGGCCCAUUUCCCACCUCACUACAUGGCAAAAGUUGUGCAUGGUUGGGCCAGCAAAGCCCCUCGUUCUGUAUUACACUGCUGGUUGCCUGAGGAGUGCUGCAGAGUUCCCAUGUCCCUAACCCUGACACUUGGUGGCUCAUGGUUCCUCUUGGUGCAAACCUUGAGAAGUGCUAAAUCAUACUUCUGUUUUGAUUAGCUUUUCUCCAUCUCAGAUCAUGUCCAGUAAAAGAAUUAUCCAUGAGCUUGCAUUAGAGGUACAGCUCCACAGGGAACUGGGUUACCUGGAUGAAAAUGUGCUAAUUCAGAAGUGCCUUUCCUACCCUUUAGUUGUCCUUCUUAGGAAAAAUGCUCCACCUCAACACUCCAGCUAAGUGAUAACCCCCCCGUUCUGAGGCUGUGCUCUGAACUAAUCUACUCUAAAAGCCAACAGAGAUGACUUAUGUUUGGGCACCUCACAGAAAAGCAAGGACAUGAAAAGCCUUAGGAAAUCUUUGACAAACAUCUCUGAGUGUUUUACUCACUCUGCGCAUCUGUUGCUGCAUGAAUAUUGCACAUAACAUGCCAAAGGGAGAGACAAGAGGUGAUCAACAGGGAGAGCAGCUUUCGUGUCUGCACUGAACAUUUUCUUUAUAGGGAAAGAGAGGAAAUAUGCUGCAUUACCUGUAGGAGGUGUGCCUGCUUUUGCUAACAGAUGUUCCUGCUUCGUGGAUGAAUGCCUAACUGGUCAGAUCCUUUCCUGGUGAACGCUGGUAUCUCUGAGAUAUGUCAACUUCCAGAAAGGUUUUGUCAAAUGACACAACUGAUGAAGACUUCACACUCACCAUGCAGUACUGUCCCAAGGAACAGAAGACAAGCCAGGUGCUGACCCCUUUCUCGAAGGAGAUUAAUAUCAAUGGGACUAUUUUCCCUACACAAGGAGAGUCUGCAUAAUGAGAGGAGCAAAAGAAGUUGUUUGUUCACAGAACUUGCAGAAGUCUCAAGCCCCUUCUUCAGAUGAGCGCAUUCCUCUGAUGUUGAACCUUCUAGGACAUCAAGCUCCAGGAGGUGAACGGUGAAUUACCCUGGUGAUGGGUGCUAUUUGGAGGCGUAUACUGCUGUAAUGAGAAUGUACCAUGGUUCCCCUUGAAAUUGGAAAACCGACAAAAAUCCAUCUCCCAUGAGAUUUCCAAGGUUUCUUGAUUUUGUUUGAGUCAGAGCUGCCAUAAGAGAUGCAUUUCUCAGAGCCCUUCUGAGCUGCUGCCAGGAACAGGGAGUGCUGGGCUGUGCCACUUCAACAACAACAGAAAGAGUUUUCUUUGAAAAGUCACCAAAUUUUAUAAGCUUUAAAAAAAAAAAACCUUAAAAAAAAAAAAAAAAACUUCAGCCUCGUUCAGUCUCAGAUCUGAUUAAAAGAGCUGCCCUGAUUUAUUGGUGUCAAACAAAGUAUGUUUGGGUAGAACGCUAUUUUGUAAUGGAAAAAGCAUCAGUGGAAGCACCGCCUCUCAGCGCUGCUUGGGUUGGAUGAGUGCUAAGCCUUAAAUUAUGAUUGUGCUGCUGAAGAAAAGGAGGACUGCUGGAAACGCUGCAGCUAAGAGGCCCAUCUCUCACUCUUCCAAAUAAAGGUAUCUGUGGAAUCAGCCUUGGCAACACCACCAGAUCUGCUGGUUAAAUACUGGGCAGUAUCUGCCCACUCUGUGCUGCACGUGCCCUGCAGAGCAGAUGGGAAGGGGUUUCAUAAUAAUAUUAUGAAGUUUAAUAAUCUCUAGUUGCUUCCUGAUGUCCUACCGUUUUUAUUAUUAUUAUUAUUAUUAUUAUUAUUAUUAUUAUUACUACUGUUUUUAAUGGUUAAGCCCUUUUAUUUUGCCUAACUUCUUGUUCUUGCACAUUCCCUCAGCCAGGAACCUUCUACCAGAGCAUUGCCACCAGGAUGAGUCUGCAGGGACCGCCCAGACACACCUGGAAAAUCAAGUGCCAGAAACCAGUGGUUCAGGGGUGCCAAGCACCUCUGUUAAUAUAUCAGUUUAUACCUGCAAGACCUUGUCCCACCAAACCAAAAAAAAAAAUCCAUCAUUCUACUCAUGCACUUUUCCCCAAAACACCACAAAAGUGACUUUUGGCCUUUAAAUCUGAUCCAUCUCCAUUUGAGAUGCCACCGAGGCUACAGCUGAGACUGGAAGACCUUAUAUAAAUUUAAUUCAAUAAAAGUUAUUUGGAAACAUCAACCCUGAUUGGCAACUGAAAAAAAAUAUGCUGCAGUUAUCAGAGUCCUCUGCACAUUUUUCCCAGCAGACAUUUUGUCUGUCUCACUUGUGGGGAACUACUCUGGGUCAGAAUGCUGCAGAUGCUUUUAUGAUUUAAAAUUGAAAAUUGAAAAAGAUGGUCUUUGUCGUGUAACUUUUAGCAGUGUUUCUUUUGCACGAGCAAAACUGUCUUCUGCCUUAAGAUGUUUAAUGAUUAUUUGAAAGCGACUUGAUGAAUAGAAGAGCGCGUACUCCCACAGGGGACAAACGUAUUUUUAGACUGACUCAUAAUAAUUAAUCUCUGUCGAAGUGUAAUGCAUUAAUUUCUCCUACUGGUAGGGGCUCUACUGCUGCCUCUUUUCCUAAGGUAGAUGGUUCUGCUCCGGGAGCUGAUUUAAGUGGACACAACCAGGUACUCAGUUAUGUGACUGUUACCUCAACGAUCUCUGUAGGAACACAGCAAAUAACUCACACAUGGCUGGAAAAGACUGCACGCGGGGGAGGAUGUCACAGGCUGCAGGGUGAGAAGCUCUGUGCCUUGUCAUCCGUUUCUUCCAUACCCGGUUUUGCCCUUUCUCUGCUGCUGCCACUGGAGUACAGAGAGACCCAGAGCAGUGAUGCCAUUCUGCUGCUGGCCCUGCCCGCUCUGACCUUUUCCAACCUCAGAGAAGGUUUUGGCCCUAACUCCUUUGCCAGGAGUCAUCCCUACAAAUCAAGAUGUUCCCCCUCCAGGUGAGAUGAUGCUUUGGAUGGGGCAGGCUGCUAUCACGUUGCCCUCAGUGGAGAUGUGUGAGCAAGGUAGAGAGAGAAUGAGGACUGGUGGAGCCGUACAAAAUGAGCUCAAAGUUCUCAUAGGGCUCAGUGGUGGUGCCGGGAUCUAAUGCGCUGCUAAUGAGGUUGAUAAGGAACCUGUGAGAGGGAAGGAAGUGGGAAAAAUGGCUGCAGGACCACGUGGAUGUCAAUGAAUAUGAAGUAGGGACAGAAUUAGGGUGGAGAAGACAUGGUUGGGUAAGGGUCAAGUUGAGGUAUUUGGGAUAGACUCCCAUUGAGAUGUUUAAUGAACUGAGCUUCUGUCUACCAAGGUGGUGCUUUCUCCAAUACCUGUACAGAGCUCAGCACCCAUGGUUCAGCUCUAACCUUCCCAGAGGUCUCCUGUUUCUGCCAGCAGACACGUCAGAUGUCAGCACACAUGCACUAUGUGGAUAGAGGGGGUGAUAAUAAGUAUGCAAGAACAUCUCUGGUGUAGGGAACUAUAUACUGCACAGUGAGUUGAUCCUUAGUGAUAGAGUCAUAGAAUUGUUUGAGUUAGAAGGGACCCUUAAAGCUCAUCUAAUCCAACUCACCUGCAAUGUUCUACCAGAUGCUUGGAGCCCCAUCCAGCUUGACCUUGAAAGUGAAGUACUGACCAAGUAGUGACCAAAUACUUCCUAAGCACUGGGAGCUCCAUCUCCGGACAGCUCCUUUCCUUCACCCAGAGUUAUGAUUCCCUCGUUAGAUGGAAAGCAAAACCAUAUGGGAGACAAGAAAAGGCCAUUUAUCUCAAAGUCUAUUAAGAUGUGGAGACCUCGCAUUAAGACUCCAGUUCAGCCA